rnacentral:tRNA from 1 species
UGCCGGAUAGCUCAGUUGGUAGAGCACACGACCGAUAAUCGUGUGGUCACAGGUUCGAGUCCUGUUCCGGCAACCA